rnacentral:lncRNA from 1 species
GGCCGCAUGGGAACUGAAUCAAGUCCACACAGAGAGCACUGAGCUCAGCGUCGGAGUGUGAAAGCCAGGCCUCUGCUGUGAGCUUCCUGCUGCCUGGGUGGCUGGAAGUUGCUGCUAGCUGGGGAGAGGGACAGAGCGAUGGGGGAAGACAGGCCCCAGGACCGGACCGGCACUCAGAACCAGCGCCUUCCGGCUGCAGACCUUGUCCCUGAGAAUAAAAUCAGUCACACCGCUUUCCUAACUGCAAACCGUGUCUUCAAGAAUACAGCAGACCCUCAACUUAGGACCGUCCUGACAUACGAACAACUUCGUUACUUAGGUUAAUGGAAGACUCACUCAUCUGCCUCUUGCUAUCUAUAGUGUGUGCCCAGGUAAACAUCCAGAUUUCAGCCGUACUGAUUUACAACCACCUUGAGUUACAACCAGACCUUGGGGACUGACCAAGGCUGUGAGUCAAGGUUGCACUAUGUUGAUUCUUAUUUUUGUGAAUCACUUUCUUCCCUGGUGAAGAAAGCCCUGCAGGAUGAAGGCCUGGAAGUGCCCAGCUGGGGAUGGUUUGGCGCCCGAGCCAGGAGCCAGGAGCCAGGAGCCGGAAGUCCGACUCCGUGCCCAGGGCGGAGGGGUGUUUCCCGCACAGACUGUUACCCCUGUUGGUUCCGCAUCAUCUUGGCUUCCGACCGACAGGGCUCAGGGAGUGAUCUGGGGGCAGGCAGAGAAACAAGCGGUGAUUCCUGCUGGCCACGGCGGUGCCACCUGCAGCAGGAGGUCCAGGCCUAGCGACCGCCAAGGUGCAGGCAUCUCAGCAGCCAGGAAGAGCGGACCCCAUGGCACACGGCCCAGGCCCGCAGGGUGCACAUCUGCCACGGGGUCUCUGUGUCCUUGCUGUGUGCUCCCCAGGCUGGCCCCGCUGAGCCCAAGGAGCAGCAGGCGGCUCAGGUGGGUGAAAGAGACAAGCAGUGGGCACUGGUGAGGGAAGUGGGGUCGUGGGCGUAGGGGGCGAGUUCCCACCCCGCGCUCUUUGGACGCCGUCAAGAUGGUUGCGACUGCACCUGUUUCCCUGCCGUAGGUGGUGCUGCUGGACAAGAUCGGGAGACAGGAGUUACUUCACGUGGUACUCAACGCAUCCCUUCAGUGCGCACUGGGACUUUCUCAGGCUGGGGGUGCCACUCGGAGCUGGAGGGGUAGCUCAGCGAGGCCUGCACAAGGCCCUGGGGUUGAUCCCCAGCACUAAAAAACAAACAAACUAACUAACUUGCCUAGAACAUGGCA